rnacentral:rRNA from 1 species
UACAGAGGUGGCAAGCGUUGUUCGGAAUUACUGGGCGUAAAGGGCGCGUAGGCGGUCCCAUAAGUUCCGCGUGAAAUCCCCCGGCUCAACCGGGGAAUGGCGCGGAAAACUGCGGGGCUUGAGUUCGGGAGAGGGAAGCGGAAUUCCGGGUGUAGCGGUGAAAUGCGUAGAUAUCCGGAGGAACACCGGUGGCGAAGGCGGCUUCCUGGACCGACACUGACGCUGAGGCGCGAAAGCUAGGGGAGCAAACGGG